rnacentral:rRNA from 1 species
UACGUAGGGGGCUAGCGUUGUCCGGAAUCAUUGGGCGUAAAGCGCGUGUAGGCGGUCCUGUAAGUCCGCUGUGAAAGUCGAGGGCUCAACCCUCGAAUGCCGGUGGAUACUGUCGGGCUAGAGUGCGGAAGAGGCGAGUGGAAUUCCUGGUGUAGCGGUGAAAUGCGCAGAUAUCAGGAGGAACACCUAUUGCGAAGGCAGCUCGCUGGGACGUUACUGACGCUGAGACGCGAAAGCGUGGGGAGCAAACAGG